rnacentral:rRNA from 1 species
ACCUUGCGCAUUAAGGCAAAUUUUAAACUUCAUUCUACGGCAUUAAGGUAAAUCGUCUCACUAUAACGUGUACAUAUCUAUAACGUGUAAAUCGAUUUAGUCGGUCUGCGGGGAGUUAUGUGGUAAAGGGGAGCCGAGCCUAUGAAACUACUUCUACUCCGAGGAGACGGACGAGCACGACGACAACGAUACCUGCCGUCACCACGCUCGUAGACGUCCGUGCGUGCCUUCGGUCCGGCCCUUGUCCUCACGAGAAGGGAGGGACCGGCCGACGGGCUUCUCGACACCGUUGGAGUCAAAGCUGAUGGGCAAGCCGUAUCCCGGCCCGACGAAGGUCGGCGGUGUCGUUCCGAAACUUGAGUAGACGUUAUCUUCGUGGGUGCCACGGAGCGUCGGGGGGUCUGAGAAGGACGCGCUGCCGUAGUGGCUCCAACAGUUACUGUAGUCUGGGCCGCUGUGUAGUCCAUAACUACAUAGCAAAAGGGUUAGGCAGAGGCACUCUGGACUCCACCUACGUAUGUUGUAGAGGACCUUGGGACCCUCUAGAGAGCCAUAGUUAAUGUAUAUAAAUUUGAAGUGACCAACGCUGAAGUUGUACAUACACGAGGUCGUGCUGUGCUUGUUCUACCACCCAGUCACGUCAAGAUGUACGGGACUGCUUCUAUAGUGUCUAUGUCACCGGUCCGUCCUGACGUUGCCAUGUCCUACAACGUGACGGCAUCCAAUGAGACUCAACCCACGGCCGAACCUGUAGUUCAAACAGGCGGUGUUCUAACCUUUCGCCUUCAAGGUUAGCGUCUCAUUGGCUUCGAGGUAUACCCUAUGUUAAUUACAUCAUUGGAGACUAAUGCGGAUAUAAAUGACCCGUUAGCGGCAACUACUUCUAAUACGUACAGAGUCAUUGGUAUCAUCACCCGUUAAGCUAAGUCGAUUGCAGUGAAUAAUAACAAGGACACUGGCACCAAUGGCUCCGUUAGGUAUGUAUUGGUUACCGACGAGCGCACUGUUUCCCAUGGUAGCCUAUGUUGCCUUCUGGUUGACGAGAUCUAUCACACCCCUUUAGUUACAUGGAAAGGGUAAACCGGAUCUCCCGCUAACAAGUCGUUCCUACAGUAAAGUCGAGUUAACGUGUUUAGGCUGUUACAAACGGGAGGUCAAAGGUUUACUCAUACUAUGUCCUAUGAGGUUGUGAAUACAUUUCAUAUAUCUAUAGUGUCUCCCCGACUACUUACAAUGUAUGUCGAAUUUACCGGUUCCCAUGGAAACCUACGCUCAUGGACUAGGUCCGGAGAUAUAACGGAGGCUCCCACAUUAUGCUGUCGUCACCCAGCAUCGGUUAAAUUGUACGGGACUCCGUGUCCUCUUAUCCUGGCCUAUACGUACGCAGUCGUACUUAUAGUGUACGAACCCACAGUUGAGGUUUGUUCUUAUGCAGCCAAUGGCAACGUUUACACACCGUCCGAAACUGCCCUUAGGUAUAUAGCGCUUACCCACGUUUCUACAACUGCUCACGUUCUGUGGUCCGUGUACAUUACCCUAAACAGUAUUGUGGCUUCCUUCAGUGAUAACGUGGUUUACAGGAUCUUUAUGUCACAUACUAUGAUGUUAUUUCUACACAUAGCGGUGACCCUAACCGCAACCAAAACCUCAAGAUGAAGAGUAUAGUUAAGAUUGUAAUAAGCGGGCAUCUACCCUUUUUCUGUAGUUCUUCUUUGACGCUUCUUUCGUAAAAGCCGUCUUGGUUCCAGGCGAGGAACUUGUUAACUAUAGCAGUCUACUUUUACGCUCACUAUUGUGAUUCUAAAAGAGUGAUAGUCUCAAUCUUUUCCGUUGUUUAUUAAAAAUAGGGUGUGCAUAGCAACCAGCACCUCCCGUACCGUACCAAAUAUUUCCGUAGAAUAGGCUGGUUGCCCAUCACCGGUAUUUCUUCAGAUUUCAGUAACUCGUUCAACUCUAUUCGGUCAAAUAGUUACUCCAACGUCAGGAGAGGGUCCAUUUAGUGGCCUUAUAACACUUCGAGAAGCCAACAACAGAACUCUGUCUUCAGGGUGACGAUCAUUCGACGACCUCGUGAGAUAAUGGAGGUGAGCCGACGAAGUCAUAGCUAUAAAGUAGCACUACACUUCAGGUGAUUGUAUGAGAAUCUACCUUUAAUGUGACGUUUUCAAAGUCUAAA